rnacentral:lncRNA from 1 species
GACAUUGUUCAAUCCACAAAGACCUCAACUACACAACUUUGGCUACUUGAUAAAGGAUGCAUGUCACAAAGACAUUGUCAUCCACACAACAAAUGCCUCAUUAAAAACUCUGAACUCUGCUACCUUACUGUCGUUCACCUUUUUCCAACAUUUGGAUUAAUAGGAACUCAAACCUCUUCAACCACACUUCGUCCAUCACACGCCAAAAAAAAUUACGAUACAAAUGGCUGAAUUCAUUUCACUCGCCCAGAUUAAUGUGCCAUCAAAACCUAGGCUUCACAUACCAAUAAGAUGGCUCCCACCUACUAACCAGUACAAGCUAAACAUUGAUGGAGCUUAUGACAAAAACAAUCAAACAAAUGGCACUGGUGGACUCAUCAGAGACCACCAUGGCAAUUGGAUAGCGGGGUUUGCGCAGAAGGCAUUUGCAACAUCUGCUCUUCAUGCUGAAAUACUCGCAUUAAUAGCAAGACUAGAGCUCUCCUUCACAAAAAUAUCUUUCCCACUAUAGUGAAAACAGAUUCACAGGUAUUAUGUAACUUAUUUUAAGACGAACACACAUGCUACUCACAUCUUCUUUAUGAUUGCAGUUUUCUUCUUGAUGUUGCUGGCAUGGAAGAAAUAACCCAUAUAUAUCGGGAAGGCAACUCUGUAGCUGAUGCUCUGGCAAAGUAUGGAAGAACCAAGCAACAGACAAUAACGGAGGGAGAAAACACUAUAUACUGGGAAACACCUGUAGAUUUUAUUUUACAAAUUUUUAUUAAAGACAAAUUGAGAAAAAUCACUAUGCGGUCUAUCCCUAUGUUAUGUAAUAACUAAACUUCUAUGAUCUAAUAUAAAGUCUCUUCUUUCAUUAGUAAAAAAAAAAGGUCUCUUAAUAAUGCAAUAAUCAAUCCUCUUUCACAAGGGAUUUUCAGAAAAGGCAAACCUAUG